CCAGGAUGUGGUUCAUAAUCUAAGUAGUUUAUCUAUGGCUGAACCACAGUUAGUAACCGUCACUUUUAGUUGUUAAAUGUGAUUUUACAUUACGUUUAAGUGGACAUUAUGGUGUUAUUUGUCUGUAGAAUAAAAGACGCGAGAAAUUUGGGAUAAGAUCCAUACUCAAAUUCAAAUACUACCAUGGACUCUCAAGAUUUCCGGAUUUAUACCCAAGUGAUCACGUUAACGUUUAAACAGUAGAAGAUUGAGACAUUAAUAGUGCUCUCUUCAAACUUCGAUGCUAAAAAACAAUAUAAAAUCAAUAUGACUAAAAUCCGUAAUUUAAAGUGGAUAGUUAACAGUUCCAUUAUUACCUGUCUAUAUGGGGAGUGCAUUCUUUGAAUAAUUUUGAACGGAUAAGGAGGAGUUCCAUCUUAUAUCCAAAUCAUGUGAUCAAGUGGUGAUUAUUUGGGGUGCAUUCUCAAGCAUAAAUUCUAAAUUAUUUUAAAUUAAGUACUGUAGCAUGGAAAAAUUUCCGUCGGAAGGAUUGUUAUUACACCAAAACUGCAAACCAGAGAUAUGCCCCCGCAAUGGUACGCUUCACAGAAUACAAGGCAUAUAUCGAAAAAAUGUACAGGAAUACAUAUUAUACAGGGUCAAAAAAUCGACGUCAAAAAUAAAAGUCGUUCCUGUGAUUGCUCGUGGGCAUAUCUAUUCAGGUCUGCCAGAUAAGAUGUUCGUCUUUUGGGAUGUAAACAAUUCUUUAGUGUAAAUACAUAAAUACUGGUACAAUGACGUCAAACUUUGUAAGGCUAUUUUUUUAAAUAAUGCAUUUCAUUUAAAUAGGUAGUUUAGAGACAGUUGAGGAAUAAAUGAAUAGUUUUAGUAUUACUGUUAAAUAAAUCUUUUCAAUUAUUUACUUGAAUAUCCAUCAUGACUUUGUCCAAAUUAGAUCUUUGGUGGACAUAUGAUGAAAUAUAAAUGAUAAAUUAAAAGUAGCAGUAUCAGAAGAGAGAAUAAGUAAAACAAAUUAAACCAGCUGGAUGAACAAUGUUUCCUUUCUUAAUACGAAACUGAAUAGAAACAAAAAAGCUGAUAUUAAACCAAUUCUUUCAUCCUCAAUUUUUGAAAGAAAUUUUAAAAACUUCCAUUUUAAAUGCUUUUAUUUUUCUACUCAUUCAUUUCAUCUCAUUUUUUUUAAAUCUGCAGUUAUUGCAUGUUGUCUCGUAUAACUACUAUUUGUAACAAUUCUUGUUUGUAAGUAGACUCUAAAUAACAACAGCAGUGGAAGUUAGAAUAGUUACUCUGUUUUCUCACCAGAUAUAAUGGCAGCCACGUUUUAAAAACCCUUCUUAGCGAAUACUUUUAAAGCAAAUUUAACUCUUGGAGGAUACAGGAGUAAUUUCAAAUAAUAACAGCAGUAGAAGUGUGAAUAGUUAAUUUCUUCAGUAUCGGCGAAUAUGAAAAUGAAAAAUUGAGACAACAGAGUGGUUCCAAAAUAAUCUUUCAUAUACACUUCUCUGAGGAAACUGUAAAAUUCGUUCGGAAGAAUCAUUGUUAUUAAACGCGUUAAGUAAACUUCAAAAGUUGAUGUGAUUCUCUGCAGAAAAAUUACAUCUUAUAUAAAACGUAUCUCAUAGUUUUAUAUAUUUGAUCAUAGUUUUAACUUUGCUAGUCCCUAUUAUAGCUUUCUGGUGGAUUCCAAAUAGCAGAAGUAAGAAGGGAAUAAACAAAUAUUAAUGAAGAAUAGUUCACGAUGGUUUAGCUAAAGAAUGUACAGAAACAAUAUUCUAUUGUUUCAAAAUACUCCGCCCUAAAUACUUCCUCAAAUAUUUUUGAACAAUUGAAUUUCAAAAUGAACUCACGCGGGAGAAUCAUUGUUACUGAACGCAUCAACUUAAAAUUUAAUAGUUGAUGUGAUUCUUCUCACAUUAAUUAUGUCUGCAGUUAUGGCACCGUGUUGAAUACUUUCUCUAAUUUUCCCUCUUGUUAGUUAUAUCAUGUUUCUUUCCCACGCCAAUUCACUUGUACGCAGCAAACGUGAGCGGCUUAAAUUCGUGAAGACACCAUCCUACGCUCACCGGGAAGAACAGCCAAAUGCAUAUUAUUCAAUAGCAAGAUGUUUAAUACCUUCUCUGUCUGACUCCGUUGUAUUUGUUCUUAUUUUAUUAUGUGUUAUUUUAGUUUAUAUGAGUGUAUUCCGGCUAUUAUGUUACAUAACUUGGUGUAAAAAUGUAAAAGCAACCCAAUUUGUCUAUUGUUCUUGUUCCACUAAGAUCUAUAAAACAUAAGCUCCAUUGAUAGAAAUGGGAUAGAAGAGCCAAAAAUGAUCAAUUCUUUCAAAAAAUUAAUUUUCAUCACAUACUUUACUUCUGACAAUUGACUACAAUGCUCCUUUAGGUUCAAAUGAAAUAUUUUCAUAUCAGAUAUCAAUUAAGACGAAUUUAUUAAAUAAAUUCUUGUUUUAUAUGAAAAUAAGUACCUUAAAUAGAUCAGACUAUAACGAAGCAAAUUAUAUUGAAAUAUCCUAAAAAUGCGUAACAUGAAUGAUAACCUUCUUUGUUCUCUUUGUCCUUUUCUUGAUCGUUAUAGUCAGAUUCAGGAUUUUCAUUCUCUUCAAUGGCAAAAUGAGAAACAGAACAGAAUAAAAUCAAACCAACGAGAAUUGGUAAAUUGUAACCUUACUUUCCAGGGCCGGAUUAAGAUUUUUGAGGCCCGGGGCUAAAAUAGUGACCUUAAGGAAU